AUGAAUUCACCGUCAUGCAGAGAUUUUAAAGACAACACCACUUCUGCUGGAUCAAAACCGGGAUUUUAAGUGAGCCCGCAGCAGACCCUUGGGAUUUUCUGGAACAGCGAUCCUAGUCUGCUCGGUAGGCAGCGGGAGUCAGCUCCAUCCUUCUGCAAGCGGACUCCCGUCAGAGACCAUCGCCCUCUGCCUGCAUGCUGUGCCCUGCGCCGCCCUGACCACCACUCAUGGAAAGAGAUGAUGAACUUAUUAAAGCCAACAACCGAA